GACGAACGCUGGCGGCGUGCCUAACACAUGCAAGUAGGACGCAGUCGCGAACGGGAGAGUAACGCGUAGGUAACUACCUAUUAGAGGGGGAUAACAACUGGAAACGAUAGCUAAUACCGAAUACAAGUAGAUGGACCUGCGUUGUAUUAGCUAGUCGGUAGGGUAAUGGCCUACCUAGGCAAAGAUACAUAGCCGACCUGAGAGGGUGAACGGCCACAAUGGGACUGAGACACGGCCCAGACUCCUGCGGGAGGCAGCAGUAGGGAAUCUUCGGAAAUGGGGGGAACCCUGACCGAGCAACGCCGCGUGAGUGAAGAAGGUUUUCGGGUCGUAAAGCUCUGUUGUUCGGGAAGCGGUACUUGAACAGAAAGGAACGGCUAACUACGUGCCAGCAGCCGCGGUAAUAC
rnacentral:rRNA from 1 species